rnacentral:tRNA from 1 species
GAGGGUAUAGCUCAGUGGUAAGAGCCCAUGCUUAGCAUGCACAAGGUCCUGGGUUCAAUCCCCAGUACCUCCA